GAUGAACGCUGGCGGCGUGCUUAACACAUGCAAGUCGAACGAAGCACUUUAUUUGAUUUCCUUCGGGACUGAUUAUUUUGUGACUGAGUGGCGGACGGGUGAGUAACGCGUGGGUAACCGGCCACGUACAGGGGGCUAACAUUUGGCAACGGCUGCUAAUACCCCAUAAGCGCACAGCAUCGCAUGCUGCCUUGUGAAAAACUCCGGUGGUAUAAGAUGGACCCGCGUUGGAUUAGCUAGUUGGUGCGGUCACGGCCCACCAAGGCGACGAUCCAUAGCCGAGCUGAGAGGGUGACCCGCGACAUUGGGACUGAGACACGGCCCGAACUCCUACGGGAGGCAGCAGUGGGGAAUAUUGCACAAUGGGCGAAAGCCUGAUGGAGCGACGCCGCGUGAGCGAAGAAGUAUUUCGAUAUGUAAAGCUCUAUCAGCAGGGAAGAUAAUGACGGUACCUGACUAAGAAGCACCGGCUAAAUACGUG
rnacentral:rRNA from 1 species